GACGAACGCUGGCGGCGUGCUUAACACAUGCAAGUCGAACGGAAAGGCUCCAGCUUGCUGGAGUACUCGAGUGGCGAACGGGUGAGUAACACGUGGGUAAUCUGCCCUUCACUCUGGGAUAAGCCUGGGAAACUGGGGCUAAUACUGGAUAUGACCUUUCUCCUUAUGGGGUUGGGUGGAAAGUUUUGGGGUGUAGGAUGAGCCCGCGGCCUAUCAGCUUGUUGGUGGGGUGAUGGCCUACCAAGGGGACUACGGGUAGCCGGCCUGAGAGGGGUAUCGGCCACAUGGGGACUGAGAUACGGCCCAGACCCCUACGGGGGGAAGCGGGGGGAAAUAUGGCACAAUGGGCGGAGGCCGGAUGAGGCGACGCGGCGUGGGGGAGGACGGCCUUCGGGUGGAAAACCUCUUUCAGCAGGGACGAAGCGUAAGGGACGUUACCGGCAGAAGAAGCACCGGCUAACUAUGU
rnacentral:rRNA from 1 species